GAUGAACGCUGGCGGCGUGCCUAAUACAUGCAAGUCGAGCGAACGGACGAGAAGCUUGCUUCUCUGAUGUUAGCGGCGGACGGGUGAGUAACACGUGGAUAACCUACCUAUAAGACUGGGAUAACUUCGGGAAACCGGAGCUAAUACCGGAUAAUAUUUUGAACCGCAUGGUUCAAAAGUGAAAGACGGUCUUGCUGUCACUUAUAGAUGGAUCCGCGCUGCAUUAGCUAGUUGGUAAGGUAACGGCUUACCAAGGCAACGAUGCGUAGCCGACCUGAGAGGGUGAUCGGCCACACUGGAACUGAGACACGGUCCAGACUCCUACGGGAGGCAGCAGUAGGGAAUCUUCCGCAAUGGGCGAAAGCCUGACGGAGCAACGCCGCGUGAGUGAUGAAGGUCUUCGGAUCGUAAAACUCUGUUAUUAGGGAAGAACAUAUGUGUAAGUAACUGUGCACAUCUUGACGGUACCUAAUCAGAAAGCCACGGCUAACUACGUGCCAGCAGCCGCGGUAAUACGUAGGUGGCAAGCGUUAUCCGGAAUUAUUGGGCGUAAAGCGCGCGUAGGCGGUUUUUUAAGUCUGAUGUGAAAGCCCACGGCUCAACCGUGGAGGGUCAUUGGAAACUGGAAAACUUGAGUGCAGAAGAGGAAAGUGGAAUUCCAUGUGUAGCGGUGAAAUGCGCAGAGAUAUGGAGGAACACCAGUGGCGAAGGCGACUUUCUGGUCUGUAACUGACGCUGAUGUGCGAAAGCGUGGGGAUCAAACAGGAUUAGAUACCCUGGUAGUCCACGCCGUAAACGAUGAGUGCUAAGUGUUAGGGGGUUUCCGCCCCUUAGUGCUGCAGCUAACGCAUUAAGCACUCCGCCUGGGGAGUACGACCGCAAGGUUGAAACUCAAAGGAAUUGACGGGGACCCGCACAAGCGGUGGAGCAUGUGGUUUAAUUCGAAGCAACGCGAAGAACCUUACCAAAUCUUGACAUCCUUUGACAACUCUAGAGAUAGAGCCUUCCCCUUCGGGGGACAAAGUGACAGGUGGUGCAUGGUUGUCGUCAGCUCGUGUCGUGAGAUGUUGGGUUAAGUCCCGCAACGAGCGCAACCCUUAAGCUUAGUUGCCAUCAUUAAGUUGGGCACUCUAAGUUGACUGCCGGUGACAAACCGGAGGAAGGUGGGGAUGACGUCAAAUCAUCAUGCCCCUUAUGAUUUGGGCUACACACGUGCUACAAUGGACAAUACAAAGGGCAGCGAAACCGCGAGGUCAAGCAAAUCCCAUAAAGUUGUUCUCAGUUCGGAUUGUAGUCUGCAACUCGACUACAUGAAGCUGGAAUCGCUAGUAAUCGUAGAUCAGCAUGCUACGGUGAAUACGUUCCCGGGUCU
rnacentral:rRNA from 1 species